CUAUUUGGCCUACCCAAGCAGUACAGAGGAUAAGGAGAGAGAAAGGAAGGGAUAUGGCAAGAGCUGGAAGCUGGAUAUCAUCAAGAAGCUCCAUAUCCCAACCACAACCUAUUAAACCCUUCUAUUUUUCCCCAAACAACACCAAAGCUUCAUUAAAACGAAAUGACUUCUCAUUGAUAACAAAAAGAAGUCAAAGGGCUUCAAAGCGUUUGGUGACAAUUUCUACCUCUGAUGGAAGAUGGCAUGGGGAAUGGAAGUGUGACUACAUUUUCUCUCUUGGAGAUCUUCAACUUGAAGAAUUAGCUGAAGAUGGCCAUAAAGAUACUCAAGUUUCCAUUAGUCUUUGUAUUCACAAGCACACAGGUUUUGGGCUCUCAGUGGAUGGAAGAGUUAUCACAUCUUUCACUAGAAAAUGUAGCAACUGCUCUUCCCCAUACUGCAGAGAGAUUGAUGCAAGCUUUAAAGUUUGGGUUUUACCAUCAAGCAGAGAAAAAGGAUCAGCUACGGAUGAGCUUCCAGUGCUUGGUUGGGAUGAUCCAUCUGUAAGACUACAAAUUAAGGCUCUUACUCUGGUUCUAUGUUUGCUUAGAUCGUGCGUGUCAAAUCAUCCAAAAAUAGUACAUUUUUUGAGGAUUCGACAUUGGUUAUCUAUGUGAAACCAGGAUUUGAAGCUGACCUUGAUUCUUUAAUACAAGAUACCAUAAGCCUUGCUGCCGCUGUUAAAGAGACUUGUUCAAAAUCAUGUGAAAAAUCUGAACCUAAAUUGCAGCCUUUGGGCAAACAGAAUGCUGCUUCAAUUGAUAGGAGGUGGUCCAGAUUGUUGGAGCUCAAGAAGGUAACUUCAAUGAAAUCUCAAUAAAAGCUAUGGGGUGAGAUUGAUUAUUGCUAAAAGAAGUUGGCUUUUAUUGACUCAAUACCCAAAGGAUGGAAAGAGAUAUUUGCGUUUGGAUCCAUCCCUCAUCACUCAAAUAUUCAUCUCAGUGUUGUUCUUAAAGGACAAGGCAAAUACUAUAUAUUAGGAAUAAAAAGAAGGCAUUCCUUUCUCUUUUUGUUGAAAGUCUAUAUAUAUUUUAGCAGAAAGAGCAAAAGGAGAAAUUGAAUGAUAGCAAAUCAGUUAUGUAAACUGCCAGAUUGAGUGAGUCUACGGUUCAUUUUGUUGCUGCAAA